rnacentral:rRNA from 1 species
UCCGUGAACCUGCGGAGGGAUCAUUACCGAGUUUAGCUCUACAACCCUUUGUGAACAUACCUAUAACUGUUGCUUCGGCGGGCAGGGUCUCCGUGACCCUCCCGGCCUCCCGCCCCCGGGCGGGUCGGCGCCCGCCGGAGGAUAACCAAACUCUGAUUUAACGACGUUUCUUCUGAGUGGUACAAGCAAAUAAUCAAAACUUUUAACAACGGAUCUCUUGGUUCUGGCAUCGAUGAAGAACGCAGCGAAAUGCGAUAAGUAAUGUGAAUUGCAGAAUUCAGUGAAUCAUCGAAUCUUUGAACGCACAUUGCGCCCGCCAGCAUUCUGGCGGGCAUGCCUGUUCGAGCGUCAUUUCAACCCUCAAGCUCUGCUUGGUGUUGGGGCCCUACAGCCGAUGUAGGCCCUCAAAGGUAGUGGCGGACCCUCCCGGAGCCUCCUUUGCGUAGUAACUUUACGUCUCGCACUGGGAUCCGGAGGGACUCUUGCCGUAAAACCCCCAAUUCUCCAAAGGUUGACCUCGGAUCAGGUAGGAAUACCCGCUGAACUUAAGCA